GUCAGCAGCCAUACCACCUGCGGUUCAGAGCAAGUAAGCCAUCUGAAGCUAAGUAGGUUUGGGGCCUACCUAGUACUUGGAUGGGAGAUCAACUAUAAAAGUGGGCUGCUGCUGGAA
rnacentral:rRNA from 1 species